rnacentral:rRNA from 1 species
UACGUAGGUGGCAAGCGUUGUCCGGAUUUAUUGGGUUUAAAGGGUGCGUAGGCGGCUUUGUAAGUCAGUGGUGAAAUAUCGCAGCUUAACUGUGAGGGUGCCAUUGAUACUGCAGAGCUUGAGUACAGAUGAGGUAGGCGGAAUUGACGGUGUAGCGGUGAAAUGCUUAGAUAUCGUCAAGAACACCUAUAGCGAAGGCAGCUUACUAGGCUGUAACUGACGCUGAGGCACGAAAGUGUGGGGAUCAAAC